rnacentral:rRNA from 1 species
AUUCCAGCUCCAAUAGCAUAUAUUAAAAUUGUUGCAGUUAAAAUGCUCGUAGUUUGUUAGGAAGUUAUCAUUGCGAAAUAUUUUAUUUCGUAAAUUGGUAAAUUUAAUAUGUUUUGUUCGUUUGUACGGCUGAAUGUCUGUCACCUUGAGGAAUGAAUAGUGCUUAACACGCUUUGUAUGAAUUUAAAUGCGUGGUAUGACGUUAAAAGGUUCCUUAUUAAUGUGUGCUUAAAGCAUUGUUGGAGUAAUAAAAAUAUAAAAGUUGGCAAGGGUAUGCAUACUUAACUGUUAGAGGUGAAAUUCUUAAAUCAGUUAAAGAUGGUCUUAUGCGAAAGUAUUUUCCUGGACGUUUUUUCUUAAUAAAGAGCGAAAGUUAAGGGAUCGAAGAUGAUUAGAUACCAUCGUAGUCUUAACUGUAAACUUUACCUACAAGUGUUUGGAAUUGUAAGGACUUUUUCAGAAUCUUAGAAGAAAUUAUAAGUUUAUGGGUUCUGGGGGGAGUAUAGUUGCAAGAUUGAAACUUAAAGGAAUUGACGGAAGGGCACCACCAGAAGUGGAGCUUGCGGCUUAAUUUGACUCAACACGGGAAAUCUUACCAGUGCAAAACACAUUUAGGAUUGACAGAUUGAUUGUUUUUUCUUAAUUUUGUGGGUGGUGGUGCAUGGCCGUUCUUAGUUGGUGGAGUGGUCUGUCAGGUUAAUUCCGUUAACGAACGAGACUUCCCCUAUGUAAUUUAUAGCUGCAUAUCAAUAUUUGCGGCGAUAUUUCUGGGAUUUUAUAUUUUUCGUAUAAAGUAACAAGAAGCAAUAACAGGUCUGUGAUGCCCUUAGAUGUGCUGGGUCGCACGCGCGCUACAAUGGUGUAUCUAAUUCAGGGUUACUUUUGAGAUAGUAGUGUAAUCUACAAUGCAUAGUGUCAGGAACAAACCCUUGGUAUUGUUGGUUUCAAACGUGGAAUUUCUUGUAAAUACAUUUCAUUAUUAUGUGUUGAAUGCGUCCCUGCCCUUUGUACACACCGCCCGUCGCUGCAACUGAUUGAGUUGGUCGGUGAAUUUCUCGGAAUUGUUUAAAUAUAUGUAUUUUUUAAGAAAGGGAAUCAAACUGUACCACCUUAGAAAUUGCAAAAGUCGUAACAAGGUUUCCGUAGGUGAACCUGCGGAAG